rnacentral:rRNA from 1 species
GUCCACACCGUAACGAUGAUUACUAGGUGUUGGAGGAUUGACCCUUCAGUGCCGCAGUUAACACAAUAAGUAAUCCACCUGGGAGUACGACCGCAAGGUUGAACUCAAAGGAAUUGACGGGCCCGCACAAGCAGUGGAGUAUGUGGUUUAAUUCGACGCAACGCGAAGAACCUUACCAAGUCUUGACAUCCCUUGACAGGCAUAGAAUAUGUAUUCUCUUCGGAGCAAGGAGACAGGUGGUGCAUGGUUGUCGU